CUUCAUUCCGUAUUCCAAGGCCAAAUUUUCCUGUUACCCCAGAUGUUUCUUGACUUCCUACUUUUGCAUUCCAGUCCCCUAUAAUGAAAUGUGGCCCCAUACCCCAUGGCUUAGUUUCAUUGAGUUAGACAAGGCUGUGGUCUGUGUGAUCAGAUUGACUAGUUUUCUGUGAUUAUGGUUUCAGUGUGUCUGACUCCUGAUGCCCUCUCACAACACCUACCAUCUCACUUGGGUUUCUCUUACGUUGGACGUGGGAUAUCUCUUCAUGGCUGCUCCAGCAAAGUGCAGCCGCUGCUCCUUACCUUGGACGAAGGGUACCUCCUCAUGGCUGCCCCUCCUGACCUUGAACGUGGAGUAGCUCCUCUCGGCCCUCUUUGUGCCCACUCUUGUUAUUGCUUUGAAGCUCAGCAAAGAAGGGAAAUCCAUUGAGAACAGUCUGUAAAGGUUGUGUGAAACCAGAACACAAACCAAGCUGGAAAAGACUAUGCCUGUGUUUAGAUGCUGCAAGUCACCUGAUUUCCUCGUUAUUGACAAACCAAAUGAUUUCAUUAUUGGCAGCCUCUAAUGCAAGGAUCACAUGGUUUGAAUGUUUGUCUCUAUGUCUGCAUCUGAGAUCGGGACUGCUGUGUUAUAGAUGAAGACACAGAACACUUCUAGAAAUUACAAAGGCAGCAGGUGCUAUCCAAGAUCAAUACUUUGAUUGUACAGUGUCAUCAUCUUUUUAGAUUCAAGGAUGUUGUUUAUUCACAGUUAUUGAAGACAGUGAGGCUCUAAGAGAAUUGCAGAUCAGCUUGUGGGAGGUGACAUAUACAAUCCAGCAGGGCCUCACUUGACCUCCUUACAUUUGCACCAUUGAAUUUAUGUAGGUCACAGUUAUUGGAGCUAGGCAUUUUUCCUAUGUGAGAAUAGAUUUCAGGUAGGAAGCUUGUACAGAGCCCAUACUUAUGUAUGCCAGGAAACCUUUUGAAUGACUUUCGAGUUAAGCGUUGUAGAGGAGGAAAAACAGGUAGUAGAUAGCCUUGAAUCUCCCAGAAUAAACAUUGAC
rnacentral:lncRNA from 1 species